rnacentral:rRNA from 1 species
CACGCCCUAAACUAUGGAUACUCGACAUACGCGAUACACAGUGUGUGUCUGAGCGAAAGCAUUAAGUAUCCCACCUGGGAAGUACGACCGCAAGGUUGAAACUCAAAGGAAUUGGCGGGG